UUUGUCACAAUUAUUAUUGGCGACAGUCAAACACAAUAAACUCCAAUAUUAACUUAGCUUCAGCUUAGGAGUCACAAUUAUUAUUAGCCUUAUUUCCGUGGUGCUCCCCCUUAAGUUCUCUGACUUUCGGUCAUUGCAACUUUGUGUUGUCUCCCGCUUUGUAUGGGGCAGGGAUAUAACGUGAUAUUUC